AUGGAUUUUGUCCGAUGCUUUAAACAUUUCAGCUCUUGGAUGUUGCAUUCCUUUCUCUCUUCUUUGACACAGGGCAUUUUUCUUUAGAAAUUAAUCAGUGAAACUCCUUUAUGAUUAAAUAUGAACAUUGUGACGUCAUUGAAGAGCUUGUAUUUUUUUUGGAUACUUCUAUUUCGCUGGUGUCACAUUCCUGCUAAUAUUUUCGUUUAAUUCUCCUCUUGAUACUCCAGAUAUCUGAACCUGGGAAUCGUUUUGAAUAGAUUUCUAGUGCCAACAAGAAUUGAAGAUAAAUUUAGAUAGCCCGGCAGGUUUUCCAGUACGGCAAUAUUUUACUUAGUGUUGACAUUGAGCUAUUUUUGACGUUAAAUAAAUCUGACGCGUUGGGACGAAUAUA